rnacentral:rRNA from 1 species
UACGUAGGGACCGAGCGUUGUCCGGAAUCAUUGGGCGUAAAGAGCGUGUAGGCGGCCUGUUAAGUCUUGCGUGAAAGCCCGGGGCUCACCCCCGGAAGUGCAUUGGAAACUGGCGAACUCGAGUCCCGGAGAGGAGAGUGGAAUUCCUGGUGUAGCGGUGAAAUGCGUAGAUAUCGAGAGGAACACCUGCGGCGAAGGCGGGUUGCUGGGCUGACACGUGACGCUGAAGCGCGAAAGCUAGGGGAGCGAACGGG